rnacentral:tRNA from 1 species
UCCCUGGUGGCUCAGAGGUUAAAGCAUCUGCCUGCAUUGCAGGAGACCUGGGCUCGAUCCCUGGGUGGGGAA